ACUACCUCGGGGUUGCCCCUGGAGAAUUUCUAGUAUUUUACCAGUCUCAACUAUAGGAGAGAGAGUCAAGCAGAGGCCUAUCAAUUCCAUUCCUAGCUUGGCCAGUGGCUAGCGAGUGGAAAGCAAUCUGCUACAAGU